GUUUUUUAAUUGGAAACUUGUAUGAAUGGUCAUACGAGGGAUUGACUUUCUUUAUCUUAUAUUAAUUAAUUUUAUUUCUCUGUGAAAAAGCAGAGAUGUAUUUAUUAGACGAUAAGACCCUUUAAAACUUUAUUUAUUAUAAAAGCAUGAGUUUUUAGUUGUUUUUUUGUGCUAUUUUUAGUGAAUUUUGUUGGGGCGACAGGUAAAUUUAUUGAACUUUACUUUUUUAUAUCACAAAUUAGUGUUUGUUUGAUCCAGGUUUAUGUUCUGAUUAAAAGCUUAAGUUACUUAAGGGAUAACAGCGUAAUCUUGUUGGAGAGUUCUUAUUGAUGGCGAGGUUUGCGACCUCGAUGUUGGAUUAA
rnacentral:rRNA from 1 species